AGUUACUUCCAGAGAAGAGGGUGAAAAUUCUUUCAACUUAAACCUGAAAGAUUCUGUGUCUUUUCCAAAACUUGGUACAGACGAAAAUGCUAAUCCAGUGUAGCGAGUGAUAAAAGACAAUGCUGAUAUGUGCAGUGUUGGGGAGUAACAGAUUACAUGUACUGGAGUUACGUAAUCAGAGUACAAAUUAUGAGUAACUGUAUUCAGUUACAGUUACUGUUUCAAUGAGUGGUAAUUGGAUUACAGUUACUUUGUUGAAAUAAAUUAUUUUUAUUUUUGUUUUUAUUUUAUUAUUUUUUUAUUUAUUGAUUGAUUUUUAUUUAUUUUUUUUAUUUUUUCUGUAAUUCCACUCAUUGCUGGAAACUAAACCAGGACUAAAACCAGGUCUAAACCAGGACUAAAACCACAUCUAAACCAGGACUAAAACCACAUCUAAACCAGGACUAAAACCAGGUCUAAACCAGGACUAAAACCAGAUCUAAACCAGGUCUAAACUAGAUCUAAACCAGGUCUAAAUUAGAUCUAAACCAGGACUAAAACCAGGUCUAAACUAGAUCUAAACCAGGUCUAAACCAGGACUAAACCAGGACUAAAACAGGAUUUAACAGGACUAAACCCUGCUGCGCGGAUGUGUCUCCUCCUCUUCUAUCAAUAAUAUUUUUAAUACGGUUAAGUAUCCUUGUCUUUGCUUCUCUACAGCAAAUCAAGUAAUCCAAAGUAUUCAGAUUACGUUACUCACUUUAAGUAAUUUAAAUGGAUUAUGUUACAAACUACAUUUUGAGGUAUGUAAUCUGUAAUCUGUAGGGGAAUACAUUUAAAAAGUAACUUUCCCAACACUGAAUAUGUGAUACUAAAAAUCUUUGUAAAACACUUCUUGUGCAAAGUUAAUAUGAAUCAAUCAAUCAAACGUUAUUUAUAGAGCUCUUUUCACACACA